AUUGAACGCUGGCGGCGUGCUUUACACAUGCAAGUCGAACGGUAACAGGCCGCAAGGUGCUGACGAGUGGCGAACGGGUGAGUAAUGCAUCGGAACGUGCCCAGUCGUGGGGGAUAACGCAGCGAAAGCUGCGCUAAUACCGCAUACGAUCUAUGGAUGAAAGCGGGGGACCGUAAGGCCUCGAGCGAUUGGAGCGGCCGAUGUCAGAUUAGGUAGUUGGGGGGGGAAAGGCUCACCAAGCCAACGAUCUGUAGCUGGUCUGAGAGGACGACCAGCCACACUGGGACUGAGACACGUCCCAGACUCCUACGGGAAGCAGCAGUGGGGAAUUUUGGACAAUGGGCGCAAGCCUGAUCCAGCGAUGCCGCGUGCAGGAAGAAGGCCUUCGGGUUGUAAACUGCUUUUGUACGGAACGAAACGGUCCUGGUUAAUACCUGGGGCUAAUGACGGUACCGUAAGAAUAAGCACCGGCUAACUACGUGCCAGCCGCCGCGGUAAUAC
rnacentral:rRNA from 1 species